rnacentral:rRNA from 1 species
CCUACGGGUGGCAGCAGUGAGGAAUAUUGGUCAAUGGGCGCGAGCCUGAACCAGCCAAGUCGCGUGAGGGAAGACGGCCCUACGGGUUGUAAACCUCUUUUGCCGGGGAGCAACGGGCGCCACGUGUGGCGCCACUGAGAGUACCCGGAGAAAAAGCAUCGGCUAACUCCGUGCCAGCAGCCGCGGUAAUACGGAGGAUGCGAGCGUUAUCGGGAUUUAUUGGGUUUACAGGGUGCGUAGGCGGAGCGUUAAGUCAGUGGUCAAAUUGAGGGGCUCAACCCCUUCCCGCCAUUGAAACUGGCGCACUUGAGUGGAAGAGAAGAGUGCGGAAUGCGUGGUGUAGCGGUGAAAUGCAUAGAUAUAACGCAGAACCCCGGUGGCGAAGGCAGCAUGCCGGCUUCCGACUGACGCUGAAGCACGAAAGCGUGGGGAUCGAACAGGAUUAGAUACCCUUGUAGUC